rnacentral:rRNA from 1 species
CAGUCGCCGCGGGAAUACGAAGGGGGCUGGCGUUGUUCGGAUUAACUGGGCGUAAAGGGCGCGUAGGCGGGUUUUUAAGUCAGAGGUGAAAUCCCAAGGCUCAACCUUGGAACUGCCUUUGAUACUGGAAGUCUUGAGUCCGGGAGAGGUGAGUGGAACUGCGAGUGUAGAGGUGAAAUUCGUAGAUAUUCGCAAGAACACCAGUGGCGAAGGCGGCUCACUGGCCCGGUACUGACGCUGAGGCGCGAAAGCGUGGGGAGCAAACAGGAUUAGAUACCCCAGUAGUCCCUGUCUCUUAUAC